rnacentral:ncRNA from 1 species
GAAAAAACGAUGAAGUAGAAAAAGUAGUUUAGGUAAAGUUAACAGAGAGUCCUCGGUUGCUGUGAAGAGGAUAACAGCCUAAAUGAACACACAUCUACUAGUUGUCUUCCUGAAUCUUAGUAGGGAAGCCCGGGAUAGCCCGUUAUAGCUAAAGGUUUAUUAAUAAACUUAGCGAGGCAACUGACGUGAGGCAGUUGUGAAGACGAGGUGGAACCGCGACGCAGAUCGCCCUCUUAGAUCGAUUGAUCUAGGAAGGCGAUUUUUUUUAUUAAUAAACCUAGCGAGGCAGUCUGUGCAAAUAGACUGUGAAGCUGAGGUGGAACCACGAUAAUCUCGUCCUCUUG